rnacentral:rRNA from 1 species
GACGAACGCUGGCGGCGUGCUUAACACAUGCAAGUCGAACGGAAAGGCCCUGCUUUUGUGGGGUGCUCGAGUGGCGAACGGGUGAGUAACACGUGAGUAACCUGCCCUUGACUUUGGGAUAACUUCAGGAGACUGGGGCUAAUACCGGAUAGGAGCUCCUGCUGCAUGGUGGGGGUUGGAAAGUUUCGGCGGUUGGGGAUGGACUCGCGGCUUAUCAGCUUGUUGGUGGGGUAGUGGCUUACCAAGGCUUUGACGGGUAGCCGGCCUGAGAGGGUGACCGGCCACAUUGGGACUGAGAGACGGCCCAGACUCCUACGGGAGGCAGCAGUGGGGAAUAUUGCACAAUGGGCGGAAGCCUGAUGCAGCAACGCCGCGUGCGGGAUGACGGCCUUCGGGUUGUAAACCGCUUUCGCCUGUGACGAAGCGUGAGUGACGGUAAUGGGUAAAGAAGCACCGGCUAACUACGUG